UUAGAGCAUGGUGUAAUACGGUAGCACGA
rnacentral:tRNA from 1 species